rnacentral:tRNA from 2 species
GGUGCAUAGCUCAGCUGGAUAGAGCAACGCCCUUCUAAGGCGUGUGUCCGGGGUUCGAAUCCACCAUCCUCCACCA